UAUAUAUAUAUAUAUAUAUAUAUAUAUAUAUAGAGUGGAGCUAGAAUACUUUUACAAGUAUCACCUGGGUGGUGCUUUAGUGUUUUUAGCCCUUGAAUGGAGAGAUGUGAGGUUGAGAUGAUAGUGGUAGGUGGUGGUAGGUGGAAUAGUAUUUGAUCCAAGGGCUAUUAGUAAUUAAGAAGUAGAUCCAAUGGCUAAAAACCUAAUAGCACUAUGAGGGUAAUACUUGUAAAAGUAUCCUAACUCAACUCUAUAUAUA
rnacentral:lncRNA from 1 species